rnacentral:ncRNA from 1 species
AUAAACGCAGUGAUCGGGAGAGUAAGCGAAUCUCAAGUGCGUCAGAGAGGAUCCGCCAUCGGCUGGAAGCGGGUCGCACGGCGUUCGCCGAAGUUCACCCGGGAGCGGCGGGGCUGAAUUCAGUAGGCUCCGACGGCAGCAACCGUUAUCUGUUUCAAGCGCCCGAGCUAUCGGGAAUGCAGGGUGGUACCGCGGAUAUUUUUCGUCCCUCGU